rnacentral:rRNA from 1 species
UUGACCUCAAAUCAGGUAGGACUACCCGCUGAACUUAAGCAUAUCAAUAAGCGGAGGAAAAGAAACUAACAAGGAUUCCCCUAGUAACUGCGAGUGAAGCGGGAAAAGCUCAAAUUUAAAAUCUGGUGGUCCUAGACUAUCCGAGUUGUAAUCUAGAGAAGUGUUAUCCGUGUUGGACCGUGUACAAGUCUCCUGGAAUGGAGCGUCAUAGAGGGUGAGAAUCCCGUCUUUGACACGGACUACCAAUGCAUUGUGAUGCGCUCUCAAAGAGUCGAGUUGUUUGGGAAUGCAGCUCAAAACGGGAGGUAAAUUCCUUCUAAAGCUAAAUAUUGGCGAGAGACCGAUAGCGAACAAGUACCGUGAGGGAAAGAUGAAAAGAACUUUGGAAAGAGAGUUAAACAGUACGUGAAAUUGCUGAAAGGGAAACGCUUGAAGUCAGUCGCGUUGUCCGGGAAUCAACCUUGCUUUUGCUGGGUGUACUUUCUGGUUGACGGGUCAGCAUCAAUUUUGACCGUUGGAUAAAGAUUAGGGGAAUGUGGCAUCUUCGGAUGUGUUAUAGCCUCUGGUUGCAUACAACGGUUGGGAUUGAGGAACUCAGCA